AUGCAGUAUAGGAUAUGGACAUCGGAUAGGAGGGCCAGGCAUGGGCUUCAGGAGGAGAGUUCAGCAUGCUACACGUGUUUGCAGGAUGAGGAUAAUGCUGAUCAUAUUCUUCUGCAUUGCCCUUAUGCUAGGGAGGUCUGGUAUAGGACAUGGGACACCCUGCAGAUUAGCACACCUCAAGCACUAGCUAAUGAGAAUACCCUGGAGUGGUGGUUAGAGCACGAAGAGGCUUCCUAUGGGCGGACAUGCGAGGUUUUGAUACCACAGUCACGGCGGUCCUCUGGGCUUUGUGGAAACAAAGGAAUGCUAAAGUCUUCGGUAGGGUAG
rnacentral:rRNA from 1 species